rnacentral:rRNA from 1 species
CAGCAGCCGCGGUAAUACGUAGGUGGCAAGCGUUGUCCGGAAUUAUUGGGCGUAAAGGGCUCGCAGGUGGUUUCUUAAGUCUGAUGUGAAAGCCCCCGGCUCAACCGGGGAGGGUCAUUGGAAACUGGGAAACUUGAGUGCAGAAGAGGAGAGUGGAAUUCCACGUGUAGCGGUGAAAUGCGUAGAGAUGUGGAGGAACACCAGUGGCGAAGGCGACUCUCUGGUCUGUAACUGACGCUGAGGAGCGAAAGCGUGGCGAGCGAACAGGAUUAGAUACCCGGGUAGUCCCUGUCUCUUAUAC